UUUAUAUCAUGUUGAAGAAGAGCCUGGACCUUAUAUGGAGCAUUAGUAUAAAAACAAAACCUUUAUGAAGGCUUAGUCACUUUAUACAACCAAUAUCCAAUAUGAAGAUGUGUUCUGAGAAAAACAAUCCAAAGUUUGAGCCAUAUGAACCUAAGAAUAUACCUGACAGACCUGUAAGAAAUAGAAGAAGAGGCAAAUAUAAUCAAAGAAGAAAUAUAAAAAGCUGUCCAAACAAGAGGUGAAGAUAACAUAUUUCAAGUGUCAUCAACAAGGCCAUAACAGAAGAUAUUGUAAUGUAAAAUAGUAACUUUUAACUUGAUUUUAGAAGUUGAUUUCAUAUUAAUUUUUUAAUUUAUUUACUAUUUUGUAUGUGUUUAUAGAUUCCUAAUCCAAAUGCAAAAGUACAUAGCUAAGGAUUUCAGCCUAGUGAUCAUAAUUUACAAGGAAAUUGCUAGCCUAAAAGCUUCAUCCAACUUGCACCUUUAACCUCAAAAAAAUCAGAAAAUGUAGCUCAAGUCAACUUGCACUAACAAGCUCAAUCAAGCUGCAUCUUCAAUAAUAAUUUAUGGUGAUACAAGCAGAGUUAGGAGCUUAAAGGCACUUGCAAGAUAUAACUUUUGUGGUGAUUCAAGGAUACAUGUUACAGAAGGAAUCAAUAGUCAACUACCUCCUAAAAUAGAGAAACUGUUGGGCAAAAGAGGGGAAGAGUUGAAACAACAAUAAAUGUUGAUUGUGGUGGAUCUAAAAGGUCAAAUAAUGCUGGAUUUGAAAUGUACACAAGUCUAAGGGGAACCCAACUACUGAAUCAUGGAACAUCAAGUCAAAGGAUCCUAUAAAGUAGUACAAAUUACAAGGAUGCAAGUUCUACAGGUGUUGAUCUUGAUUUUAAGCCAACGAACUUAAAAUGAAAAAAUAAAGAUGUUGUCACCACCAAUCAAUUGCAGAAAAUGGCAAACACACAUAAAAAAGAAAUAGUCAAGAAGAAGUAGUAUAUUUUGAUGGUGUAUUGUGAUUUUCUUGUGUAACAUAUGGUACCAAACAAUCAAUUUAUGUUGUGCUUUAAAUCUGCUACUAAUACAUAGCACAAUUUAGUUCUUUAGUUUAAAUCUGCUAGUGUAUAGCAGUAUACAAUUUGAUUGGUUAAGACAAUAUGAAGCAUGUUUUGUAUGUACAUUAGUGUUACAGCAUACUUAUAAAGUUAUUGUUGGUGUUACUUUGAGCUCAGUAUAGAGCAUAUUUAUGAAGUUGUUGUUGGUGUUGCUUU